rnacentral:lncRNA from 1 species
UUACUAAGAGCAUAGUUGCUUUCCAGGCAUGGUUGUUGCUUGGGCAUCAUUGUGAUCUUGUUUUUUGUGAAGGAAAAAAAUGCGUCUUAGGUUCCUUUGAGUUUGACUUUAAUGAUUCUAUUGAAGGUUUCUGAGCCUUUGCCUGACCUGGUGGUCAAUGGUGGGAGGGUGGACUAUGCCUGACCUGGUGGUCAAUGGUGAGAGGGUGGACUUGGUGGAAUUUCUUGCCGAUUGUUAGAAGCCUUUGGCGAUUUUCUAUGUUGUCUUUGCAUGUUUUUAUGGAAUUUGCCACAAUCAAACUGGUGUUUAGUUCGUCUUGAGGACCAAGUU